ACCGAAAAUCUGUAAUUUUACUGGUACUGUAAUUUUACCAUAGUAUUUCGGUAAAACUAACGUGUUCGGUAAAAUUACAUUUUAUUUCUGUACAAGAUUUCAGGAAUUAUCGGUAAAAUCACUAAUAUUUUUAACAGUGCACCCGCAGUGGUGGGUCCAAAAGCAGCUGCAAGACCCACCCGUUUGAGAACUCUGGGUGCAGGGCUGCAUUAACUUAAGGGAGUGCGGUCGGGAACAAUGCAAUAAACCGAACAGGAAAUCCCGAUUUCACCCAAUUGUCACUCUAAUUUUUACAUUAUGCUCCAUGGUUUUUAUUAUUAAAUAAGUUCACUAAUGCAAGGGAGCGUGGCGGCUCGCUUCAAGACGGGACUUCCCUGCGGGAAGGUUUUCUUUUCGAAACCGUUACCGCUUGCCACAAUACAACAUUGUGAAUGACAUUUAUAUUUCGCUAACAAAUGGUGGGUUGCGUGUCUUUGAACAAGACAUGCACUCGUGCUGCCUUCCCCGAACACCGACUGUCCACCGAGAUACUCUGCACCUCGAGCUCGCUAGGGCAAGGGGUAUUCCCUCAUUGAGAUGAGAUACUCGGCGGGCGGACCGAGUGCUAUUCGGCGAGCGGCUGUCGUGCGCACAUCUUCCAGACUCCGUCAAGAUAUCUAAUCUAACUUAUUUACUUAUCUAGAUAUCUAAAUAAGUUAUUUAGAUAAGUUGGCGGUCCGAAGACGCGAAGAGAAUCUCCAAAAUACCGCACAUAUCAAGUUGAAAUAACUUCUUCCUAGGAAGAAUAGCCUUAGAAACUCCGUGACUCAGAGCACAUUAAAAUUAUAAUCAAAGAUAGAAGUAUGAAGUAUACUAGGUAGAUGUACGCCAGACCACGUCUCGCGUAACAGGCUUCGCGAUAUCUCACGAAACACUGUUACGCUGCGACGCGCCUGGCAUACAUCUACCUAGGCCUGCGGCGCUGACACCCGAGUCGGGUAGUGCAAAAAUGUACACAAAGAUACGGGCCUCCGGCCCGUCAACGGCCCGUCACUUUGACUAAGCAUGCAGGGUUGUACAUUUUUUCGCUUAUUUUCGUCAAAAACACCCUCUAGCGCCUCAACGGUUAAAGAUAAAGCCAAACGGAUGAAAUUUUUGCCCAAAGGGCUCUACUUUGAUGAGUUACCCCUUAGAAAACUGUAAAAAAAAAUAUUAAAAAAAAAACAUUAUUUGUAGGACCUGUGGUUUUUGAUUUUUUAAAAAUUCAAUUUUUGAGCUAGAAUGCUCAUCUUCGAUCUUGAUCUGUCUUUUUAUGAUACAAAACGACCCUGAAAAUCCCAGGUCGCUGGCUCAAUUCGUUCUCGAGUUAUCGUGAUGACAGACAGACAGACAGACAGACAAACAGACAGACAGACGCGAAACUUUUUGAUCAUCACUGGAGUAAUAGGCUUCGCUAAUCGCUCAGCCAACAAAAAAAUAUAGUAAUAUAAUGAUCAUCACAUUGCUACAUAAUGUAUGAAAACUAACUUAUUACUAGAUUAAAUUGUGAAGUUGUCAUGUAUGUUAAAGAGAUGAAUUUAAGUUAACCUGUUACAGUUAGAAAUUUACCACUUUGUAGUACUGAAGUUUACUUAGAAAGAAAGAGAAAGAAAAAGUUAACAGUAUACAGAAACAACAAUCGCUCAAAUUUUUAGAUUCUAAGAUUUGAGAGCACAUUCAAACUAGAAAAUCUAGAGCAUACAGUAAGAAUACAAAAUAGGUAAGAAAGAAAAUGAUAGCAACAUCACUUAAUGAGCCAUUGUUUAAGAAUGACCAUAACAAUGGACCUAGAUAUAGCAAGAGAAGCAAAAAAGAGAUCAUGUACAGUAUAAAUGCAAUAUAUAUGAGGUAGAACGAGCAAUCAAAUCACUCAUCCCACGUGUUCAUAUAGUCAUCAAAGUCACGCAUAAGGCCUUCAUAUUUCUGUAAGAUGCCCUUAGGAUUUGCCUCCCAAUGUCCUUGGGCAUUUUUCCUGCAUUCUAUGCGUGAACAAUUGGGGUCUCCUUGAAUUUCAAAAAUAACUCUGUAAUAAGAAAUAGAAAUGGAUAAAACUGUUUUAAUCUGCAUGUGAUGAGUAUCAAUUAAGUAACUUGACAUGAACAAACGUUUGAAUAAAUUCAAGUAAAAUCCUCAUUUUUUUAAGAUACGUAAUUUUGAAAACAAAAUAGCACAGAAAAACCGAGAAAGUGCUAAUAAUACAGUUGUCAACCCAUUACAAAACAUUUCGGUGUAUCAAGAAGAUCAUCAUCUGGAAACAUAAAUUAACAAAAUGAACAUUAUUGUUUUUUUAACUUAAGUAGCUAAAACUUGCUGAAAGAAACACAGUCAUCACCUAGAACAGCAAUAAUUGGCCUUCCAUCUUUAGACAACUUGUUGGAGGCUUGCACUUCAUCAUAACUGGUUGUUUCCUGAGCAAAAGACACAUUUCCAAGUUGAGUAACUACGAGAAGUAAAUGAUAUAAAGUAUAUGAUAAAAAAUAUGGGUUGAAACAUACACAGAAAUAAAUGAAAAGAUGUUUCAGAUCUUGAUCAAGUUUAAGAGCAACACAAAGAAUUAGUGUUGAAAACUCCGUGUCACCAGUCUAAGCAGCCUUCUUAAAUUGAGCAAGGUAUUUUUUCAUUUUUGCAGCAACUUCUUUGGCGUGUCCAUCCCUCCUUGGUUUCAGCACAUCAACCUCCAAGUAUUUGAGGAAAUCAGAGACAAAUUUACCCAGCCUUUUCUCAAGAUUAUCAGGAGUUACAAUUGCCCGGAGUUGCCCGGGAGUUGCCCGCCAGAUGCCCGGUUUUCACUUUGUCUGGGGUGAGCGGCGCGCUGGUCCCGUCGGCUGCUCGGUCCCCCCUCCCCUCGCCUGCGCACAGUGGACGGAAAUCGAAAACCGGGGGACAAAAAUCAGUUUUUGCACUUGUCUAAAAACACCAAUCAGUGAGACAUACUAAUAGAUAACAUCCUAAAGGACAUAUUUUUGCUUUGGUUUGCUUCGUAGAAGUAUUUCCGUGCUCUACAGUAGUAUCUAAAGUUGACCUCUCUGCCGGCCGGCGAAGUCCGCGUCAUGAGACCAUGUUGAAAUUUACUUUUUCACAAUGAAAAUGGACUUGACUGGACAACCCGUCACCGAGGAGAUGCAAUUAAAGGUCAAAAUAUCUCUAAACAACCACAGUUUUGCCUGUUCAAAGUAGUAUUUAAACUAAAAACAUGUUUCCAAGUCAGCAAAACUCUGCGGCGUAUCCGCCGGUUUAUAAGAGAUAUUUAAUGAUCGCCAGCGUUCGCCGGGCAGAACUCGAUAGAAAUAUGUUCUUUAUUAUAUUCGUAAUGAAGCCCUUUUUGAUUUUUUUCCCGCAACGUUCCGCUUUACCUACACGGUUACUUCAAACUUCCAAUACUGGCUAUGAUGCGACCUGCCUGAUGGUUAGGUGCUCGAGGAACAUAGUGACAGCAGUUUGGUUUCAGACAGUUUGACACGAAACUUGUGAGGCAAUAAGUAAGGACGGUCAAAGUAUUGUUUUAAUUUUGGACCGAAAUCAAUCUUUGGAGACAAGUGACUAACAAGAGGAUGGGUGUAAAGAAUAUUUUGAGGUUAGGUUGUCCUGUGCAGGGGGAAGGACGACGACUAAGUUGCACUACGCGGUGUCUCGUGCUGUUCGAUCCAUUUUUCAUUUAAAAACCUUUCUUCUUCCAUAAAACCUUUGUUUCCUUGACCACCAAUCCGUAAAAAAAUGUAAAUUGGAAUAAUUUUUCAAAAUAGCAUUACUGUAUCUUAUGACACUAUAACAUUUUAGAGCGGAAUGCAGGUCGUAAAUAAAUUCUACGUCCUUUAAAACGAGUCGUUACUAAUUUUCACCGUCCUCCGCUAAGCGGUUGAAUUUUGUCCCACUUUUUCUGAUUUCCGUCCACUGUGCUGCGUGGUCCAGCCGGCCGGAGCUCGGUCACUUGGACGGCGGCGAUCUACUAGAAAUUGAUUUUGACCAGAAUGUUAUGAUUGUGAAGGAAUAGGGCCAUACGAUGCUAUAUAUUCCUCACCUGCUGCUGCUGAAGAAAUACCUGGAGACAAUGAUGAGCCUUCAUCAUCAUUAUCUGCAGAAGAGCAGGAGCAGCAAGAGUUAGGACCACUCACUAAAGAGCAAAAGAUGAAGUUGGGAAAGCGACGAAGGCAGAAGGAGAGGAACAGGAGGCUGAAAGACGAAGGAAAGCUCAUCAAGAAGGCCAGUGCCAAAAAGAUUUCGGCCGACAAAUUAAAGAUAAAGGAGAAGAGGAGGCUAAAGAGAGCGGAGCAGCAAAAGACCUAGUGGAGCACUGCUGCGUCCCUGGGCCUAAAAUAGAAGAGUAUUGAGUGUUGAUCAGUCAGUUGGUUCCCUUUACCCUUUGUUACAAUCUUUAAGCCUCAUACACACCUUCAUUGAUGAAAGUUGUUCUGAACCUUAAAAUUCAUCUGAACCCUGGGCCAAUUAUGCCCUGGUUCUUUGCGGUCAAGUCACAGCUUUUACGUUGUAAACUGGGUACACAUACACAUUGGUCCACUUGGCAAGUCAGUAAUUGCUCGGAAGAUUGGCUUGUGGGACAAUAACCUAACCUCUCUCCUUCAACAACAAUACCUGUGUAAAUAACAAACAAAUGAGAAUGAAACUGAGAAUAAAACUGACAAAGUUGACCAGCAAUUGGUUUUAUUCCUCAUUACGUCUUACACUGAAACAUAUUUAACUCAGUCAUUGCGAUCUUGAUAUUAGCCCCAUACAAACGUAGGCUGUUGCCAUGUCAGUCUGCUCUCCUGCAACUGUACUGCGCAUAAGCAAAGGGGAGGAGGAGAGGGGAAUUUGCUAUAGUGCCUGUUUCCCCCGUUCUGCAAACGCGCGAAAUGACGCGUGUUCAAACGACCUAGUUUCGAUGACAGGGUCGCGAGAAUCGACAACACACUACAACUCAGUUCUGAUUAAUUUAAGAUAGUCUCUUUUGACACUACUUCUUUAAUUUGUAGUGCUUCUGAAACUGAUGAUUACUAAAAGACAAAAAUCUACAACAUAGUGCAAUGUUUAAUUUCAAAUCCCCUUUCCCCAGAGAAGUUAUGUUCGCUCACUUUAGAAACUUAACAUUUAUUUUUGCAACCCAUUUUUCUUUUUUGUUUAGUCACCUUAUGGCAUAAAAUCUUCAAUUCAAUACGAUACUGGAAUAUUGUUUAGAGCAAUUAUAACAUUUAAACAGUAUGGUUGCGGUCUGUACCACAUAUGAAAUGACCACAUGGGCAAAUAAUCAUUAUAACAAUCAAACCCUUUCUUUCACCAUUUUAUUCUAGAUAAUUGAAUCGAACCACAAAAGGCACAGGUACGAAGCCAAUUGAACAUUGGAGUUGUUGCCAUUGUAUGCUCACAGCAUCUUCCUAGUCACAGAGCUCUCUGAAAGCAAAAGCAAAAAACAAAGUUAAAUCACAGCAGAAGUUGUACUUGUACU